AUGACCGGCACAAUUCGCCACACCAGAUUACGUCAUAAGGCUGCUAGCAACUCAAAUGGUAGUUGCACCAACUCUAAUGGUAGCAACUCCCAAAGGACCAACCGUGAUGGCAGUGACCUAGGUCACAAUGCCCCCCAAAGGACAAAUGUUGGCAGCAAUAACUCAAGUGGUGGCCAUACAAUCAAUGCCCGCGAAGCAAUUCCACAGAAGAGGGGGAGGGCAAAGAGAGCAAAGACCUCGCUAAGAAUGCCUCCUAAUGGUCGCAAGGUCCAACUCGAACCUAACGUUGAACAUAAGCAAUUUAAAUAUCUUGGUGGCAUUCCCAAUGGAUACAAAUAUGGUUCACAGUUGGGAGUCAUUCUCAAACGGGAAUAUCCAGGUUUAGUUAAGUACAUGGACGAUAGUGGUGUAACUAGAAGCCGCCCAGCACUAGAAUGGGAGGACUACUAUCUUGUGCAUGAGGAUGAAGGUGUUUCCAAUGCUGACCGGGUGAAGCAAGAAUUUUGGCGUUGCUUUGAAGUUGCCGAGUCAAAUAGGGUGGAGGCUGAUCGUAUUUUAGAAAGCUAUGCGAGGAGGAAAGUGAAAGACAUCUUGUACCAAGCUCGUGUGGAUGCAGUCAAGAUAUAUUAUGAUGACCAAGGAGAGGAGCUUGAUGACAAGCUGGCAUGUGCAAGGGAACUUACGUUAGAACAAUACUUAGCUAGCAGAGUUGAUUGGUUUAGUCCUACUGUAUGGCCUCAUAUUUGUAGUUAUUGGUGCUCAAAAGAGUUCAAGGAAGCAAGGUGCAGAGGCCAAAAAUCCCGCUUGCAAUCCAAAGAUGUUGCUCAAAAUCGCGGAGGUUCACGACCAUUCACGGAGUAUAGGCAAUUUUUGGAACAUAAGUUUGGACCUGAGAAGGCCACCAUAAUGAACACAUAUGUUGUGAUGAAAUCUGGUAUGAAAAACCUCGAUGAAAAUGGCAAUAGUGGUGCAAUUGUAUGCUCCGUCUCCUAUCCCUUUUUUGAUGAUUAUUCUACUGGUAUGAAGGAAGCAUAUCCAGAGAAUUGGCAGGACAUGGAUUUGGAUGAAAGGGUCUUGUACAACACAUCAGGUGGCAUGUCUCAUGGCCGUGUAGCGAUUGCAUCUGGUGCUGUGAAGAAAGCUGUUGUACUUUCCGCUGCUAGGGCAACAAAUCUGAAGCCAUCUACUUCCAUUGCUUACUGA
rnacentral:rRNA from 1 species